GGGGACGCUCACCACUUUGUGGUUCAUGACUGGGGUGAAGUCGUAACAAGGUAGCGCUAGGGGAACCUGGCGCUGGAUCACCUCCUUA
rnacentral:rRNA from 1 species